GAUGAACGCUGACAGAAUGCUUAACACAUGCAAGUCGUUGGCGAAGCUGUGCUUGCACAGCCUAGCCAAGGCGGACGGGUGAGUAACGCGUAAGGAACUUGCCCUGCAGUCAGGGAUAACAGACGGAAACGACUGAUAAGACCUGGUAAAGUCAGGCGGACUCAUGUCCAGCCUGAUGAAAAGAGAUGCUGCAGGAGAGCCUUGCGUCCUAUUAGCUUGUUGGUGGGGUAACGGCCCACCAAGGCGAUGAUAGGUAGCCGGCCUGAGAGGGUGGACGGCCACAAGGGGACUGGGAUACGGCCCUUACUCCUUCGGGAGGCAGCCGUGGGGAAUAUGGGACAAUGGGGGCUACCCUGAUCCAGCCUUUCGGUGGGCACGAUGAGGGUUUUCGGAUUGUAAAGUGCUUUCGUCAGGGAAGACAAAAUGACGGUACCUGCAGAAGAAGCGACGGCUAACUACGUG
rnacentral:rRNA from 1 species